rnacentral:tRNA from 1 species
GGUGACGUGGGUGAGUGGCUGAAACCACCAGUUUGCUAAACUGGCAUACCUUCACGGGUAUCGGGGGUUCGAAUCCCCCCGUCACCG